rnacentral:rRNA from 1 species
UACGUAGAGUGCAAGCGUUGUCCGGAAUUAUUGGGCGUAAAGAGCUCGUAGGCGGUCUGUCGCGUCGGCUGUGAAAACUUGGGGCUCAACCCCAAGCCUGCAGUCGAUACGGGCAGACUAGAGUGCGGUAGGGGAGACUGGAAUUCCUGGUGUAGCGGUGAAAUGCGCAGAUAUCAGGAGGAACACCGGUGGCGAAGGCGGGUCUCUGGGCCGUAACUGACGCUGAGGAGCGAAAGCGUGGGGAGCGAACAGG